AAGAGAUGUAAGCGGGGGGGGGGGGAUGUUGAUUGCUUUGGCAGUCCUUUGCAAGUUUUCAAGGGAAGGAAAAGAAGAAGCCGACCCUCCUCUCACCCGGGGAACAGCAGGGAUCAAACCGGACUCCAAGAUGCCAGUUGCAACUUUCGCUCCAAGUAGCGCUUGGGAGCCGCCGCUGUUCCUCCGCUUCUCCGGUUGAAGGCCCGGAUCCGAACCACCCUCGGAUGGGAGUAAGCCCCCACUGAAUGAGAUGGGACUUCCUUCGCAGCAAACACUCAGAUGAUUCAAGCGCGUCUCUGAGGGAGCCUCCGCGCGCUGUUUGUGCCGCCUGUGGAUGUCGCUGGCGGCGGGGAGAGCGCGGAAGACGACUCUGGCGUGGCACCAGAAAAGUCAGGCUUGGCUAGCCCACCACCUGGGAGGAAAGGCUGAUGCGUGACAUGCAUAUUUGGUUCCAUCGAAACUAACAAGGCCCCAGUGCCCACAGAGGGAUGGAGGGGGAGAGAGAGAGGCAAGGGCACCCCCACCUCAGCACCCCCACCUCAGCAUCAAGAUACCGACCAGGCAGACCGAGCUGCAAAGGAGGUCUCGGCUGAAAUCUACAAACCGUGGACUUCUGUCUCGGAGGGGAGAAUCUCACGGCCCGGUUGCCCUCCCGUCCGGGAACCCGGCACGACUGGCUCGGCCCCACUGCUGAAAUGGGCAGAGGUGGCAGGUGAUCUCCUGGUCGCAUCACGUUUGUUCGGCUGUGAGGAUCCGGAUCCGGUGGUGGCAAAUUCGACUCGGAAUAAAGCUGCUAGUCCCCGUGAGCAGGCCGGAAGCACCGAGCAGCAGCCAUUCUAGGCAUUUAUCGGGGCGCGGGGGGGGGGGGGGAUUCUCUGAAGGAAACCGAAUGGGAAAGCCACCUACAAGCUGAAAUCUAGUGAAACCAUAAAACCCUUUGCUAAUACUGUUCAUAGUCCUUUAGCACUCGAAAGUGCUGGAUGGGUAGGCCCUUUAAGUCUGAGGAUUUUGGGGUGUCCUCGAUCCCCGCGAAAGUCUGAGAGGCAGGUAGUUUGUUUUUUUUAGUCCAUUGACACAUCACACACACACAACUGUCACAAGGAAGCCACAUCUGGAGAUGCUGCCGACGAAGGAAGGAGAACUUGCCACAGCGCAAGCCUGUCGGGCCAGCAGAGCGCCGUUUUAAGGCACAAAUAAAGGCAUAAAUCACUUGGGUUUAAAGAGGCAGCCAGGCCUCCGAAUAAACCCAGGUACAGUUAAAUAUUUAUAGUUUCAAGGGUUAUUUUGUCUGCUUUCGAGGGAGAACUGGCAACUUUCGUUGGCUUCGGGGAAGGCAGAAGGCUUGGCCUUUGGGGGUGGGGGCGGGCAGGAAGCUUCGGACUUUAUUUUUCUUCUCAAGAUUAUAUCGGAGGAGUGGGGGAAUUUAGCUGAGCAACAAAGAGCCACCCCUUGAAACAAAGGCAUAAUUUCCAUUGCAAAUCCUCCCUCAGCCAGAAAGGGAGCGAGAGCAAACAAUAUUUAUGGGAAUGCGCUCAUAAAAUUAAUGUACCUUACUUUUAAAAAAUCAAAUGCUUCAUACAGGACGCUGCUGCGCAGUGGGGGGGGGGGGGGGUUGGGGAAUCAGACUUCCUGACAGUUUUGUCAACAUCUUAAGUAAAUGGUCCCAGGGAUGGUCUGAGGAGAGGAGAAGCCCCUUGCCUGGAGCAAACACCGCCCAGCAUUUGUCGCAAACCAGUUGAAGAUGAGGAUGGCAAGAGGGGGCUUCAAAACGCGAUCUCCUCUCUCUUUUUUGCCAGUGGACAGAAUGGGUGUGUGACAAGGGGGGGGGGGGGAGAGUAGGAAAGGAGAAGAAAAGAAAACGCCCGGGGAAAAGAAAGAGAGAACAAUUGAGUGGACGCCGGUUUGCACCCCCGGGUGCUAAACAGAUGGGCAAGGCUGUGCCCGGCUCCUGAGUGGGAGCUGGGCAAAGAAUGCGCGGGAACACCAGGCAAGGAGGCGGGCAAGGAAAGGGAGCUUCCAGCGGCCAGGCAAGCAGGCUCGCAGUUCCCCAGCUGUGCCAUCAGGAAAUGAAGAGUCUUGGAUGACACCCAUUUGGGGUUUUGUUUUGCCUUACCAAAAAAACCCCCAACAACCCCGAAUCCGUUCUUUUGGCGUGCUUGUUUCCUUGCACCAAAAUAAUGUAUUUGCAGCACCUGACAAAUAAACAAACGCCGUCUUGUGUGUCGUUAAAAAAACAAAAGCUUCCUCGAAGCAGGAGAUCCCAUCAAAGAAAAUUCUGUUUCACGGUAAAACUGUGGAUAGGGAUAAAGUAAACCUUUCAACGGAUUUGUUUUUCAAAUGCGAUUUUCUUAAGAGACCCAAAAAAGUGUGCUGACCCGAAGAUCCGUUCAAAGUGAAUGCCCACCUUUCGGCCAGUUUAAACGGUGCCCAGCAUCCGGGGCGACUUUGGCUUCGAAUGCUACAAAACCGGCCUCCUGUGUGCGCUUACCUAAGAGUAGGGACUUACAGGAGGGACUUCCGAGUAAACACGCCUCGGAUCGGACUUUGAGAGCGGCUCUUGAACACGCUCCCGCGCCUGAAAGGUCCGCUCCUGCGCGUGGUUUCCUGAGAAGGAGGCGGGCGCCUCUGGACAGGCACUGACCGCCUGGGCAAGGGAGAUGCCGGGAAUGGCCCCGCGCAAAAGCCUCCGAGGCAAAGGACCGAGAUGGAGCAUCUCUGGGAUUUUGCCAGUUAAAAUUGUUGGGGGGCGGGAGGGGCGGGCAGGUAGGCGAGAGGCCGGAUCAAAAGAGCCCAGAGCCCCGGCGCAGGUUGCCUUGGCUGCCUUGGGAGGGGCAUUUCCCACUUUCGGACCGGGGCUGAGGUGAGGGCGGAAUCCCGUCGCCAAAUUCAGACUCGAGGAGGGCCCGGCAGGCAGCGCGAGCCACAGACUAGGCGAGCAGGACUGCGACGGAGCCUCCCCUUCCCAAAGGGGUUGGGGUGGGACCAAGAGUGGGGAAGAGGGAGGAGUAGCAGGCUGCAGCCUGAGCCGCCCUUGGAGGGCAGGCGAAUCCCACCAGAGCAGCACCCCCACCCGCAGUUUGACCCGUCCCAGGCAGGUACCACACACACACACCCCAGCUCCGCCGCCUCUUUCUCGGAGAGAGGAAGCAGUCCAAGGCCGCCCACUCGCCGGGCAUUUCCCGCCUUGGCCGGGGCGCCCACUGGACGCUACCCGCUUCUUGAGGCUCCUUGACAUUCUGCACAUCAAACAGCUGGGAACCCUCCAGUCAUCGGGCACCUUUCGAUGUCUCAACCAUGUCUGUAUGUCCCCUUCAAUCAUGGUACUUCUGCUCCGGUCAUCCCUGAAGCUCUUGAACCGGCUCAACACCUCCCCCCCCCCCCACUAUUAGAUCGACGACCAGCGUGUGCAGGAGACCUUCCAGGUGCAUAAAUUCACCAUCACCUCUGUGCCCUGGCAUGAGCCAUGCGUAGAAAACCAGGCUGUUCCUGAUGGCGUCCUGUUAAAAGGUUUUUCAUCUAAACUGAAGAAUUCGGAGCUUUUACUUUUGAACUCGUGAGCUUGACACUUCUCCCCAGUUUCUGCCUGUUUAAGUUGGCUCCAAACCGAAUACUUCGGCUUCACUGGUUUCAUGGUUGGACUGGAUUAAAUAAUAUCCCUGCCCCGUUUCUGAGUCGAGUGACACACACACACACACACACACACACACACACACACACACACACACACACACACACACACACACACAUGUUCCAGUUGGCACGUGCAAAGGGAAACGCAAGGAGCGCGAGGGAAAAGUGACUUAUCUGAAACUUUUUUUCCCGCUAAGAAAUGGGGCGCCCCUAGGGCGCAAAGCUGCGACUGAAGCCGAAGCCUGUGCUCAUCGCCGGCUUUGCGACCGUAGUCUUGGCCGAGCAGGUUGUCCAAAGCAAUCUGCCCUCCGCAGGGAUUCCCCGAGGGCUCGGUAAGCCCCACUCUGCACAGGAUCGGGUGGCAUCUCGCCUGGGAAGCCGCAUAAAAGGCUUUUACCAAGCCAGUAAAGAAGCGCUCUCCACUCCCGAAUGACAGUGAAACAUCUGGGCGCCUCUUCAGCAGACCAGGGGCAGGUUUCCACUCGCCUCUCCGCCCGAGCCUCGGCUGCGCUUCUCCAUUAUCUAGCCUAAGAGGGAAGCAAAAGCCCCCAGUAGAAAGCGGGGCGCGGGGGCGCGGGGGAAGCGGGGAGCUGUUGUCCGGAAAAAUCAAGUGGCGGGUCGCGAGCGGCGCUACUGUAAGCGCGGGAACUCCUAGGCGCGCGCCGGCCGGAGCGGCUGCUGAAGGAGGGCAAGAGCCAGCAGACACGCCGCUUUCCUCCAGGCGGGAAGGGCCUGCUGAACGCCCCCUGCUCCAGUCUCUGAGCAAGGAAACCAGGCCAGAGCAUCUCUGUGGAUGCCAGAGCAUCCCAACCAGUCGAGCUACCUGGAGGGGAGAAGGUGGCACCCGCCCGCCCACCGGCCCUUUAUUCCCCAGCCUGACGGCCGGGAUGCCUGACAGCCGGGCCUGGGUCAUAGUUCCAGCAUCAGGCAGCCCAGCCCAGCCCAGCCCAGCCCAGCCCAGCCGCGAGGUCAGGAUGGAAACAGGCUUUGGGCUCGUUUGCCCACCUUGAAGAGACCAACCUGCCCCCCCCCCCUCCAAAGCAGAGUGGAGGUCUCCUUCUGACCGGGGCUGUGAAGAAAGCCCUGAUCUCCCUCGAUGGAGUCGGGGAGUGUCCAUACACCUGGACUCAGUCACCUGGGCUCAAGGAUCGGGGCCUGCAUUUGCUUGCUGCGCUUUUGAGGAUUCUGUUGGGCAAAGCCAACCUCUUCUGCCUGUAACUGACUGCUUAAACCCUCAGGGGAUAAU